GGCAAACCGGAGGCUGGGACAAUGAAACUUUAAGAGAACCCAAGGUGACAGACUCAGUUUGGGGAGCGAAAGCGCAGGUAUUAGUGCAACUGCCCCAACCAGUCUGUGCAUGCCUCUAAUAUGGGUUACAUUCAUCAUAGCUGCAUUGAACUAACUGGCACUGCCCUUAUUCCUGAGAAUUGUCCUAUUGUUCGGAAAACUCUACCUUGAGGGAGAAACAUUAAGCUUUUUAUUGUUUUGCCUAUCUCCAAGAGGGGAUGAUUAACC